rnacentral:rRNA from 1 species
ACACAUGCAAGUCGAGGGGGAACGACAUCGAAAGCUUGCUUUUGAUGGGCGUCGACCGGCGCACGGGUGAGUAACGCGUAUCCAACCUGCCCACCACUUGGGGAUAACCUUGCGAAAGUAAGACUAAUACCCAAUGACGUCUCUAGAAGACAUCUGAAAGAGAUUAAAGAUUUAUCGGUGAUGGAUGGGGAUGCGUCUGAUUAGCUUGUUGGCGGGGUAACGGCCCACCAAGGCGACGAUCAGUAGGGGUUCUGAGAGGAAGGUCCCCCACAUUGGAACUGAGACACGGUCCAAACUCCUACGGGAGGCAGCAGUGAGGAAUAUUGGUCAAUGGGCGAGAGCCUGAACCAGCCAAGUAGCGUGCAGGAUGACGGCCCUAUGGGUUGUAAACUGCUUUUAUAAGGGAAUAAAGUGAGUCUCGUGAGACUUUUUGCAUGUACCUUAUGAAUAAGGACCGGCUAAUUCCGUGCCAGCAGCCGCGGUAAUACGGAAGGUCCGGGCGUUAUCCGGAUUUAUUGGGUUUAAAGGGAGCGUAGGCCGGAGAUUAAGCGUGUUGUGAAAUGUAGACGCUCAACGUCUGCACUGCAGCGCGAACUGGUUUCCUUGAGUACGCACAAAGUGGGCGGAAUUCGUGGUGUAGCGGUGAAAUGCUUAGAUAUCACGAAGAACUCCGAUUGCGAAGGCAGCUCACUGGAGCGCAACUGACGCUGAAGCUCGAAAGUGCGGGUAUCGAACAGGAUUAGAUACCCUGGUAGUCCGCACGGUAAACGAUGGAUGCCCGCUGUUGGUCUGAAUAG